GUUGUCCGGAAGCCAAGAACUAAAAAAAUUGGGUCCUUAUUUGUGUGGAAGAGAGAUCAGAAGUUUUGAUAUAUGUGAAGUAGGUUAAUAGAAUGAGUUAAUGAAGGCCGACAUAUUCAAUUUUAGUAGUCUAGAUUGUCUGGUCCUUGAUCUAAGGACAAUACGAUCUAAAAAAGAUUUUUUGUCCCAAUCAAACAAAGAGCUCAUAAGAUCCUUUGUGAAAGAUGGAGGCAAAUUUUUUGUGAAAGAUAGUUUACCUCACAAUCCCAUUUCUUUUGCAACACUAGAAAUGAAUAUUUCAGGCCAUAUGCUUUUCUUGAGAAAUUGAAUUCUCUAUAAAGUAAAGGUAAGAUACAAGAAAGCUACUUCAUGUCUAAUUAACUAUAUGCUAAAAUCUAUUUCAUGUCUUACCUCUAGUAAACUAACUGUUUUAUAUAAGUUUGAUCACACUAUAAAUCUUAUUGCAUUUGUAGCUUGUACUCAUACCACUCAUUGCUAAUUCCACAUUUUCUUUGUGAAUGACAUACUUUACUUUGUAAAUAUUGGAGGGAACUAAAGGAUUAAUGCCCUCGUACUAAAAAAUUUGGUCGCGUACAAGCCUCAUUAAAUGAUUCGGCUGCAGGUCCGAACCCGUCUCCUUCUGACCUUUGUCUUCCUCGCUAGAUUAUUCACUUGCAAGUCUAAGCCCGUCCUCAUAUCCAUCCCUACUAUUAAGUUCUACUUCGCUAGAUGAUUAACUUGCAAGUCCAAGCCCGUCCUCAUAUCCAUCCCUACUAUCAGGUUCUACGUAUGAAGCGAUAUCACCAAUGCCAUCUUAAAGGACAGCUCCAAUUCUUUGCAGAAUUAUCAUAGAGAUGGGCCAUAUGGUCCACUUCCAACAAUACCGAUGUUAUCCCCUACUUGGUAAUUAUCACCAGCACAAUCCGUCAGGUGUGGGGUUUUAUCACAAAAGGCAUCGGUAUUAGUUGAAGUGGGAUUAGGGUAUUUAAACUCUUCUUUUGUCAUUAAUACAGUCGAUGUGGGACAUUUUAACAUGCCCCCUCACAUAGGACUUAAUUAGUAGGUCACACGUGGGAGAUCCACACAUUGACAACCACAUGGAGCCAAGGGGACUCACCCUACAUGCGGGGCCAAAGAACCCACCAUCAUCGCGCGGGGCCAAGGGGACCCACUCAUCAAGUGGCAGUACAAUACAGGCUCUCCAAUCGACAAACACGUGGAGCCAAGGAGACUCACCAUACACGUGGGGCCAAGAAACUCACCAUCAUCGUGCAGGGCCAAAGGGACCCACCCAUCACGUGGCAGUAUGGUACGAGCCCGCUCCCUGACUAUGAUACCAUAUAGAAUUAUCAGAGAGACGGGUUAUACGACCCACUUUCAACAACACCGAUAUUGUCCCUAACUUGGUAAUUACCACCUGCACAAUCCGUAAGGUAUGAGGUUUUAUCACAAAAGGUCUCGGUAUUAGUUAGUGUGGGAUUAGGGUAUUUAAACUCUUAUUUUAUCAUUGAUACGGUCGAUGUGGGACAUUUCAAUACACCCACUCACUUGGGGCCCAAUUAGUGGGUCACACGUGGGAGAUCCACACAUCGACAACCACGUGGAGCCAAAGGGACUCACCUUACACGAGGGGCCAAAGAACCCAUCAUCAUUGCGCGGGACCAAGGGGACCCACCCAUCACUUGGCGGUACAGUACAGGGCUGCUCCUUGACUUUGAUACCAUAUAGAAUUAUCAGAGAGACGGGUUAUACAACACACUUCCAAAAACACCGAUAUUGUCCCCAACUUGGUAAUUACCACCUGCAUAAUCCGUCAGAUGUGGGGUUUUUUCACAAAAGACCUCAGUAUUAGUUGGAGUGGGAUUAAGGUAUUUAAACUCUUCUUUUGUCAUUGAUACGGUCGAUGUGGUUAUAGUCACGUAUAUACCAAGAUUAUUCAUAUUACACACACACACA
rnacentral:lncRNA from 1 species